rnacentral:rRNA from 1 species
GAUGAACGCUGGCGGCGUGCCUAAUACAUGCAAGUCGAGCGAACAGAUAAGGAGCUUGCUCCUUUGACGUUAGCGGCGGACGGGUGAGUAACACGUGGGUAACCUACCUAUAAGACUGGAAUAACUCCGGGAAACCGGGGCUAAUGCCGGAUAACAUUUAGAACCGCAUGGUUCUAAAGUGAAAGAUGGUUUUACUAUCACUUAUAGAUGGACUCGCGCCGUAUUAGCUAGUUGGUAAGGUAACGGCUUACCAAGGCAACGAUACGUAGCCGACCUGAGAGGGUGAUCGGCCACACUGGAACUGAGACACGGUCCAGACUCCUACGGGAGGCAGCAGUAGGGAAUCUUCCGCAAUGGGCGAAAGCCUGACGGAGCAACGCCGCGUGAGUGAUGAAGGUCUUCGGAUCGUAAAACUCUGUUAUUAGGGAAGAACAAAUGUGUAAGUAACUGUGCACGUCUUGACGGUACCUAAUCAGAAAGCCACGGCUAACUACGUG